rnacentral:pre_miRNA from 1 species
AUGAAAAGGAAAAUUGGCAUCCACCUGUUUUGUAGCACAAGGCUACAAAACAGGUGGAUGCCAAUUUUCCCUUUCAUA